GGCCCGGUGGUCAAGAGGUUAAGACACCGCCCUUUCACGGCGGUAACACGAGUUCAAUUCUCGUCCGGGUCA
rnacentral:tRNA from 1 species